rnacentral:misc_RNA from 1 species
UCCUCCGCUUAUUGAUAUGCUUAAGUUCAGCGGGUACUCCUACCUGAUCCGAGGUCAACCUUGGAAGAAUUGACCUUCAGAGGCUAUGGCCCCGGCCGGACCCCUCCUUGAGCGCGUGACAGAGCCCCAUACGCUCGAGGACCGGACGCGACGCCGCCGCUGCCUUUCAGGCCCGUCCCCUCCAAACGAGGGGACGGCGGCCCAACACACAAGCCGUGCUUGAGGGUUCGCAAUGACGCUCGGACAGGCAUGCCCCCCGGAAUACCAGAGGGCGCAAUGUGCGUUCAAAGAUUCGAUGAUUCACGGAAUUCUGCAAUUCACAUUACUUAUCGCAUUUCGCUGCGUUCUUCAUCGAUGCCGGAACCAAGAGAUCCAUUGUUGAAAGUUUUGAACGAUUGCAUUUCGUCACUCAGACAAUCCUCGCAUUCACAAAAGCGUUCACAGUGAGUGCCUCUGGCGGGCACGGGCCCCGGGGGCACACCGCGCCCCGGGACGACCCCCCCGGCGGAACACCGGAGGAGUGGGCCCGCCAAAGCAACACUAGGUGUGGUAGACACGGGUGGGAGAUUGGGACCCGACUGGGUUCCCGCACUCGGUAAUGAUCCUUCCGCAAGGUUCACCCUACGGA